rnacentral:rRNA from 1 species
CAGCCGCCACGGUAAUGCGAAGGGUACAAGCGUUAAUCGGAAUUACUGGGCGUAAAGCGUGCGUAGGCGGUGAGUUAAGUCUGCUGUGAAAUCCCCGGGCUCAACCUGGGAAUGGCAGUGGAUACUGGCUCGCUAGAGUGUGUCAGAGGAUGGUGGAAUUCCCGGUGUAGCGGUGAAAUGCGUAGAGAUCGGGAGGAACAUCAGUGGCGAAGGCGGCCAUCUGGGACAACACUGACGCUGAGGCACGAAAGCGUGGGGAGCAAACAGGAUUAGAUACCCGCGUAGUCCCUGUCUCUUAUAC